UAUAAAAAGAUGCCAGUAUAAUUAAAAGCCAAUCAUCUGAAAGAGGGAGUAGGACCAUCUCACUCAUUAUACCUCGUACAAUGGCCAAUAUCCAACAUAAAUUUCAGUGUCAAAUCCUGAAGAAUGAAAAAUGGAAUAAAAAUUAAGUCACGUGCGAAAAUAGAAGCAAAUCGAUCAGAGUCAUCAAUCAUCGGGGAAAAAGAACUUUCAAAUGUCCUGUCUUCACAGCCAUAGUCCGAGGACAAGGGAAUCCUUCUGGAAAAAGACCACUGGGUAGACCAGGAAGCAGAUGGGAGGAUAAUAUCAAGAUGGAUCGAAGAGAGGUGGGAUGUGAGGAUGGCAAAUGGACGAAGUUGGCGCACGAUCGUGGCCGGUGGCGGUCUCUGUUGUUGGCGUUGGACAUGCGAGUUCUCCUACUAGGGAGUUAGUUAUUCUGUCCGUCUCCAGAGAGCGCAGCGGUGGUGUGGCUGACCUGACAGCGCUCGCAAAAUACGUCCAACGCACUGUGGCUGACGCCUUACACGUGGUUCAACUGCCUGCCUUCGUCUCAUGCUCAACCUAAUCAGCGGAGCGAAGAGCCGAGAUCGAUAUAUCUGCGCAUGCGCCAACUAAUCGAUGGCAGGAACCAUUUCUUCCUGGAGAAGAUUCACCACGAAAAAAAACUGCUAAUUCGAAAAGGACAUGAUUUGUUAACACCAAAAUACCUUGUUCCUUCCCUUUACAACCCGUUUCACCAGAAUUAUGGCUAUUUUUUUUAUGGAAGCAUGAGACGGUUUAAAGGCGACUUCAAUUUCGACAAGGAAAGAUCUCCAACCGUUCAGCUUUUCAAUUUUUUUAAUCUGGAUUUCUUUACUUCACGUAACGAAAUUCAUACGCCUGACGGCGUAGUUAAUGUUCCAGAAUCCUCUAACAUGGACUUGAAUAUUGACAUAGAACUCCACUCACCGUUAAGACUCACACCAAUAAGAUUUUAUGAUAACUGUCUAGCAUACCUUUGGACAUCCGCUGUAGGCGUGGACGGUUAUCGCCAGAUCCGCUUCAGGUGAAUCAUGGAACUAAAUUCCUUUUGAAAAUUUCUAUAAAUUG